CCACAGUAUAUUUUUAAGUAUAUUCAUAUAUAAGUAUAUUCAUAUUGUUUGAGGAUCUCCAGACCUUUUUCAUCCUGUAAAACCAAGACCGUACCCAUUAAACAACUCCCCGUUUCCCCUCCCCCAGCCCCUGGCAACCACCAUUCUACUUUCUGUCUCUGUGACUUUGAUGACUCCAGGUACCUCGUAGAAGAGGAAUCACACAGGCCGGGCACAGUGACCACACCCAUAAUCCCAGCACUUUGGGAGGCCGAGGUGGUCACGGUGUCUACAAUUCCAUCACCAGAUCUUCCAUUUCCAGGAGUAACCCUGGGCAGGUGUAUACCAUGUGUCUUGUUUACAGUGGGGAUUAAUAGUUCAAGGAGCCCAAGGAGGGAAGGACCGGAUGUACUCUGCAAUCCCAGAAAACUCAAUGGGCUGAGGCAGGAGGACCUACUGGCCAUUGAAGACUGUCCACUCCUGGUCCAGAUUCCAAGUGACCAGGCAGAAAGAGCAUGGACUUUGGAGUUUGAUUGCCUGGCUUUAAAUCCCCCUGCUCCACUCGCUACUGUGGUGUGGACUCAAACUUGAGGUACAGUCAUCCUAUGAAGGAUCAGAGCUGGAAAGUGGGGGCCUGGCUCAGGGAGCAGCAGAACCAGAGCAGAAGCUGAGCUGGAGAUGCCCUGAUGGGGCCGAGGUGGAGGCUCAGGCCUGGGAUGGGCAGUUGGACCAGCAGGUCCAAAACAGCAGAAGCCAAGGCAGGCAGCGGUCUUGGAGAUGCCCUCUGACCUGCCGUGGACUGGAGCCUCUAAGAUGCUUCCUCCUGAGGCUGGAGCUGAUGACUGGCAUCCUUGGGAUGUAACCUGCGUGCAGCCGGCAGAUUCAACAAAUAUUCAUGCUGGAAUGGGAUGCAGAAGUCACCUACUUUCAGAGAUGGGGAAACUGAGACCCAGAGAGGGCACAGCCUUUUCUCGGGGGCCUCCAGUGACUCAGAGUCAAAUCUGUGCUUCUUGGCUCCUGGAUCUCUGAGCUGCACCCACUGGACCCCUAUGCCAACCCCAGCACCCCUGUUCUCCAUGGCGGCCCCGCCCUGAGGAUUUCCUAUGCCUUUCUACAGAGCUUUCUCCUUCUCCUAGAUCCCUUUUCUGCAAAACGAGGCUGGGGAGUUCUGAGCCAAGCCCAGGCCCACGUGCCUGGAACCAGAGACAGCGUAAGGAGCAGACACUGCCAGGUCACUUGCAGCAGACUCCAGGAGGAAAUGAGGGAAACAGAACCUCAGCCGUAGCCUAGCCAGGGCUCUCAGAGCCUAGAAAGCUCUUAGGAGAAGUGGAGAGUUGUUCAGAUCCAGGCUAAUUUGUCAUCUCCAGCCCUUCUCUGGUGAUCAGCUUGCCUCUUCCUCUACCUGCCCCUAUAGGUAGAGGAAGCUUGCCCUUCCUCUCCUGCAUCUUCUCCUCCCCUUUCUGUCACAUGCCUUCUGCUUCUUGAGGCCUCUGCCUCAUUGUAGUUUCUCUUGCUGUCCAGUUCCGGUGAGCUCAUGGCUUCUGUAGCCCAGUUUCUCUUUGCUUCCCUUUGUGAAUCUUUCCUGCUUCGACUCUCACUCCCAACUUCUUAACUUACACUCAAUGCUCCCAGAGGGAGGACUUGAUUGGUUUGGAAGUCCCCCACCAGGACAGGCCAAGGAUUAAGUGAGUUCUUAUAUGAGGUCUCUGAUUCCCUAACUCCAGCUAGGUGUUCAAUUAUUCAGUUCAAUUCUGACACCAACUCCAGGAGUUAGUGCAGACCCCAAGGUUUAGGGCUCAGCCCCACAGGGCUGUCCCCCUUUAGCCACCAGUCACACACAAGUCCAGGGACCAUCUGUACAUCUGACUGCCUGGCUCUGAAUUUCAGGGUUCCCAUAACCUCCCCUUCUAGUUAGAUCAUUCACUAGAACAAUUCACAAAACUCAGCAAGUGCUUUACUUACUAUUACCAGUGGAUUAUAAAGGAUACUACUCAAGAACAGACUCAUGGAAGAGAUGCAGGGAACAAAACAUGGGGGAUUUGCACAAAGCUUCCACGCCCUCCCAGCGAGUCCCUGUGUUCACCAGCCCUGAAGCUCCCAAACCCUGUUGUUUAGGGGUUUUUCUUGCAGUUUCAUUAUGAUGGAUUAAAUCAUUGGCCAUUGGCGAUUGAAUUCAAUCUCCAGCCCAUCUUACCCCCAUGGAGGCUGUAGGGGGUGUGGGGGUAACCAGCCCUCAUCAUGAAGCUCUCUAGGGCUCCUCCAUAAGUCAUCUCAUUAGCAUAUGAAAGGCAAUACGUUCAGGGGUUUUAGGAGCUCUGUGCCAGGAAUUAGAGACCAAGACCAAAUAUUUAUAUUUUAUACCACACCAGGCCACUUCUCAGCCCACUGGCCAACUUCAAGAUUGACUGCUGUUAGGUCACAAUACCCACUUGGCCAGGGGUAGAGAUCACUCAGUAUCAUGUGUGGUGUAAGCUGUUGAGAUUAGGCAUAGACAGUGGCAGGUGACUGACGGGCUGGACAACUGACAGAUGCUCACCUUGGCCAGUGUAGGCACAGAUAGGGCAGGACCCCAUUUGUUUAAGUGUUCCAUCCUCAGAAAUCCCCUCUCCCCCACUUCUUCCUUCUCUUCAUUCCUUCUUUGCUAUUUUUAAAUGGCACAUUGGAAAUAAAACAAUUGUCAAUGUAUUCAGCCCUCCCGCAGCGGGCUGCCAAUCAGCACAGUCCAGCCUACCUCCGCUUCCAUUCCCUCCACCUUAGCCCUCACCUCCCUCUUUGCUCUUGCCCCCGUCUCCGGGCACUCAGGUCUCUGUUAGUUUCUCAACAGCUUUGCAUAUGCUGUUCCCUCUAUUUGGAAUGCUCUUCCCCAUCUCCCACCCCUGGCUGGCUUUUCCUGGCCACCCACUCUGAAUGAUGCGCUCCUCUUACAUAUGUGCCCUGUGUGUUUCUUUACUGAUACUUGUCAGCCUGCUGAUCGACUUAUUUGCACAAACAUUUAAUAAAUCACUGGACCGUCUGCUGUAGGCGGGCAGAGAUCAGAUCUGUUUUGUCUUGCUCAGUACUGUGCAAUAACACCUAGAACAGGCCUGGCUUGGUAGAUAGCUAUUGAAUAAGUGAGUGAAUGGAUGAAUGUCAUUGAAUCAGAGAUGAUUAUGAUUCACAAAGGCUUAUAUGUAUGAGUGAAUUUGAAAAAAUAGAAACAACUUGAAUAUUCAAUAAUAGCCAAUUAAAAAUAUA
rnacentral:lncRNA from 1 species